GGGGUUGGGGAUUUAGCUCAGUGGUAGAGCGCUUGCCUAGCAAGCGCAAGGCCCUGGGUUCGGUCCUCAGCUCCGA
rnacentral:tRNA from 1 species